rnacentral:sRNA from 1 species
UUCAAUGGAAGUUAAGUUAGCGGCUUAUUGCCCUAUCGAUAGCUUGAACAAGCAAUCGAUACUAUCGCUAGAAUUGAUGACCACCACUGAAAGUUGUGUCCCGCGUCUUCCUCCAUCUUGGUUUUUGCGUGACGUUGGCGUGGGCUUUAUAGUAACAAAUCCAAUCAAACUUUUAUUAGUCGACACAUUACAAUGGUGCAAGUAAAGAAUCUGGAGGAUCCCUAUAAAUCUGAGAACGACAGGAAAAUGCACAACUAGGUGAAAUGGUGAGACACUCCAUCUAAACGAUACUCAAUUGCCUUCUAGAUCUCUUGUGCUGGACAAUGGGCUACAAGUUUUGAUCGGCCCCAUCGGUUGGCCCUGAUGAUCGACCACAUAUCGGAGCAUAUCAUGGGCAGCAAGCCAGAUUCGGCGGAGAACGUAUUUUUUGCACAUGCGGAAAAGUACGGCGGCGAAUGCUCCUCAUUAAUCUUCAGCGAGGACACAUUUUUCUCCUUUACUGUGCCCGAACCACUCUUGGAGUUGAGUCUAAAAUACUUGACCUUCAACUGGGGUAACAUGACAUCCGCAUGACAUCAAGGCGUAAGACCUGACCAAGUUCGAUUACUGGAACGCCUUCUGACCGGCGUUCCACGAGCAAGUCUUUCUCGUCAAGGUCGCGGAGAAUGGGCGUUAGUUUGAGUUAACCUGGUUGCGUCCGUACUAUCACAGCAAUCCGGAUAAAUUACUCUCCUACUGAUCAAGUACAACGGAAACGGUGGCCUCUCUCCAAUGCCAUGCUGGCAAGGACGAGAUCAGCUUCACUCUACACUCUCCCCACCGACGAGGGAUUCAAGCACAUCAAUAAGGUGCUGUCCACCAACUUUGCCUAUUUAAAGGUCUUUUCGAACUGUUCUAACGGUUUGUUGUACGAAGAGCGGCCGAAGAUUGAGGACGCCGAAUUCCGUCUCCCGGAUCGUUUCAAUAAAGAAGGUGUCGAUGGUCUUCAGAAGCAAAUACUACUCUCCGUCAGAGAGCUCGAAUGCGGCGACGAAGACCAGCAUUUGUCCGAGCUGAUCGGCCACCUGAACAGUUUUAAAUUCAAUCGUACGAGCAGGGCAAGACGGACACCUGCGAGCUGCGGUCCCGACAGGACGUCAAAUUUGGAGAACCCCAGUCCUACUUUUGAUUCUUUUUUAUCACGCCGCUGCUGAGUAAGAGAGCGAAAAAUGAAAGUGCACAUUCACAAGGAAAUUGUUCUCGCCGCAGAGGCCACUCUCGACUGCCGAUUCUUGGUUAGCGACAAUGGUUUGUGGCUACUUGUGAGCGGAUAAAAUGACAAGCUCCAUCUGAUUGUGGAGGCCAUUGCCGAAGGUAUGGUCAAUACGGGCGCCUGGUUACCGCAAGAUACAGAGAGAGUCCUACACAGAAACCCUGGAAUAUCCAUCACAGUUAGCAACGAACAUCUUCUCCCGUGUGCUUGGAGAAAAUCCAUGGGCGGCGAUUGAUCAUUUCAAGUCCCUCAAAGACAUCACUCUGGAGGAUCUGAAGGUAUUUGCGCAUAAGUUACCGCAGGAGCU